AGCAGAGCAGAGAGGUAGGAUUUUCAAAAUCUUCCUAUAUUUAUUUCUGAACUGUCGAGUGAUUGAACAAUUUCAGCAUAGUACAAAGUGUGCAGACUUGCUGCCUCCUCUUCUGUGAACUGGGCCGUUCUCCCAGUGCUCUUUUCUACUUGCCUGCACAGCUCCUGUGCCUAUCCUGGGGAGUGCCCCACGCCAAAGCUGUUAACAUGAUUUUCCUGCCCUACAGGGUUCUCCACCUUGUUUCUUAUGGGCGAGGCUCACACAUCUGAGUUCCUGAGGCCGGGAGUUGCCCAGGAAGACUGUCCUCCCUGACCUCUUUAAGCAGAGGAAGAAUGUGACACUCUAAGCCAGGUUGAUCAAUUUCUGUUCUGUAACACAUGGCAUCUCCAAACAAAAGAACUUUUCCUCAGAGAACACCUUUGGAAUCUGCACCAGAAUUUUAAAUCUGACUCCCUUGUUCCAGUUCUAAAUGAGAAUGUGCACACACCUGUGUGAUAGAGAUGCUGUGUGAGCUCAAACCAGGGCUUUGAGAACAAAUGAAUUAAGAAGCUGGCUGGAGGAGUCCUUUGAAAGGGCAUACCACACAGAUGAUGAACUAGUGUGUACUUCAAAAUCUACACAAGGCCCUCCUCAAUGAGCCGAGUGGGUUGGACUUUUGGACAAUGGACCGAACCCCGCUCUCCAUGUACUUUAAUCCCCUUGCCUCAAGGAAAAGAACCUGCCUAUUACUGCAUCGGUUCAAGAGUUUUGGGGGUAGCUAGCUGAGAAGAUGGGGUACCUAUUGUGCCACAUAUUGAUUUAAUUUUAUUUUCUUUGGAGUUUGGAGUCUUUUUAUCAGUCUGGUACAUUUUACUUCAUAGCUAAGUUUUAUAAGACAUGUUUAGAAAAAGAAGCCUUUAUACACGUUUAUUUUAAGCAUGUUUAUACAUACAUGUUAUUGAGCCUUUUCUCAUGACCUAUAAUUCUCAAACAUAUGUUAUCACCAGAAAAAGACAAGGUAUAAAAAUGCAAAGGGGAACUCUAUUUUAAGUCCCCCAAACUCUUCAAUCUUUGUGAAAACAACAUGCUCUACUUUGUGAAACUAGAAACUUGGGGAAUGUGAAUUGUACUUAAUCUAACUUACAAAGUGGCUCUAACUGGAAAAUAGGAAUGACCUUUGUUUUUUACAUCAUUACUGGGAAGCUCAGUUAUAAUACCAUCAUCAUUGUGCAGUUCAUGGAUUCAUGAACCACCAGAUAACAGAGGGCCUAAAGCAGAAUGGGUAGUUAAAAAGUAAUAAGGUAGGGCCAGACGUGGCCCACGCCUGUGAGUACCAGCACUUUGGGAGGCCAAGACAGGAGGAUUGCUUGAGCCCAGGAGUUUGAGACCAGCCUAGGCAACAUGGCAAAACCCUGUCUCUACAAAAAAAUACAAAAAUUAGCUGGGUGUGGUGGUGCAUGCCUGUAAUCCCAGCUACUAGGGAGGCUGAGGUGGGAGGAUCGCUUGAGCUCAGCAGGUUGAGGCUGCAGUGAACCAUGAGUGUGCCACUACACUCCAGCCUGGGCAACAGAGAGAGCUCCUGUCUCCAAAAAAAAAAAAAAAAAAAUAGCAAGGUACACAGGUAUCUCUAUGAAAAUGAAUGAUAGGCACUCCAUAAAGUACAAUUGUAGUUAGGAAUUUAGGAAUCAUGUACUAUUCUGUAUUUCCAGAUGAGUAUUGUUCUGGAUUAUCCAGAGGUGCAUGGAAAAGCUUGAGCCAAACUCUCGACUCAGUGUUUAUUCAACUACAGUAGGGUAUCAUUGCCGAGGCACUAGUGACACUUGGGGCUGGAUAAUUGUUUGUUGUACCGUGCUAUCCUGUGCAUUGUUGAAUGUUUAGCGGCUUCUACGUGUUAGAUGCUAGUAGCACUUCCUCCCCCCACCCCAACAUUGUCACAAUAAAAAAUCUAUGCAAACAUUGCCAAA